rnacentral:rRNA from 1 species
CACGUAGGGGGCGAGCGUUGUCCGGAUUUAUUGGGCGUAAAGAGCUCGUAGGCGGUUUGUUAAGUCGGUUGUGAAAGCCCGGGGCUCAACCCCGGAGGGUCGACCGAUACUGGCAAACUAGAGUACAGAAGAGGUAGCUGGAAUUCCCGGUGGAGCGGUGAAAUGCGUAGAUAUCGGGAGGAACACCUGAGGCGAAGGCGGGCUACUGGGCUGAUACUGACGCUGAGGCGCGAAAGCCAGGGGAGCAAACGGG